AUACGGGGGGUGCAAGCGUUAUUUGGAAUUAUUGGGCGUAAAGGGCGCGUAGGCGGUCUUGUCGGUCAGAUGUGAAAGCCCGGGGCUCAACCCUGGAAGUGCAUUUGAAACAGCGAGACUUGAGUACGGGAGAGGAGAGCGGAAUUCCUGGUGUAGAGGUGAAAUUCGUAGAUAUCAGGAGGAACACCGAUGGCGAAGGCAGCUCUCUGGACCGAUACUGACGCUGAGGCGCGAAGGCGUGGGUAGCGAACAGGAUUAGAUACCCCGGUAGUCC
rnacentral:rRNA from 1 species